CACCAAGACUUUUAUUUUUUUCACCGGAUGAAUGAUGUUUUUAUACAUUUAUAUUGUCCUCCUCUUAAAGAUGCCAGCAGCAGUUCUGGGAGUGAGUUUGGAUCAAGGUCCAAAGGCUGUGGCUAAAGCAGAGGGCAAAACCGUGUAUCUGCCCUGCAAAGUGACCGAUGGCUCUUCAGAUUAUAUCCACUGGUACCAAAUAAAAGACGGCAAAGCCCCGUCAAGACUGCUCUAUAUCAGUAAAGAUGGUGUUGUCACUCGUGAUAGCAACAAUCCCCAAGCAAGUGAUUUCACAGUGGACAAAACAAAGCUUUAUAAUCUAAAACUGAGUGACAGUAAGAAGAGUCACAGUGCCGUUUACUUCUGCGCUUACUGGGACACCAGCAGCGGCCACAGUGAGAACAUUUACUCACAUCCUGUACAUGAACUACACUGGUAAAUCUAAUUGAUGAAUGACAUAUACUUUAAUAUUUAUUUACCUGUCACUUUCUGUUUAAGUUCUCAAUUUGAAUUAAGCUGCAUAUGCACAGAAUAACUGAAUGAAGGUAUUUGGAUCUGUUCAGAUCUGAACUUUAUUGUCCUGCUGUUCAUUAUGAGGUUAUUUGUACACACUGUAUUAUUGUGAUUUUGGAAUAUGUCAAGUGUAUCUCAUAUUUGUUAUGCGUUGUCAAGAUAUAAAUAAAGUAUUUGGCAUUUACAGAUUAGUAGUUUUUAGUUUGAUGAAGAGCU